AACGUAGGAGCCUAGCGUUAUCCGAAUUUACUGGGCGUAAAGCGCGUGCAGGCGGCUUCGUAAGUGGAUUGUGAAAUCUCCCGGCUCAACUGGGAGGGGACGGUCCAGACUGCGAGGCUGGAGGCAGGGAGAGGGAGGUGGAAUUCCCGGUGUAGUGGUGAAAUGCGUAGAGAUCGGGAGGAACACCAGUGGCGAAGGCGACUACCUGGCCUGUUCUUGACGCUGAGGCGCGAAAGCUAGGGGAGCAAACGGG
rnacentral:rRNA from 1 species